AUUGAACGCUUGCGGCAGGCCUAACACAUGCAAGUCGAGCGAGCGGCGGACGGGUGAGUAAUGUAUGGGGAUCUGCCUGAUGGAGGGGGAUAACUACUGGAAACGGUAGCUAAUACCGCAUACCAUCAGAUGAACCCAUAUGGGAUUAGCUUGUAGGUGCGGUAACGGCUCACCUAGGCGAAGAUCCCUAGCUGGUCUGAGAGGAUGAUCAGCCACACUGGAGAGGAGACACGGCCCAGAGUCCUAAGGGAGGAAGCAGUGGGGAAUAUUGCACAAUGGGCGAAAGCCUGAUUCAGCCAUGCCGCGUGUAUGAAGAAGGCUUUCGGGUUGUAAAGGACUUUCAGUCGGGAGGCGUUACCGACAGAAGAAGCACCGGCUAACUCCGUGCCAGCCGCCGCGGUAAUUC
rnacentral:rRNA from 1 species